CCAAGCUGAGCUCUGAGACGAGUGAAAGAAACAAAAAAAAAUCCAACAUAAAUGAGAGGACGCUGAUCAUAUCAGAGACAUCUGAUUCUGCAAAUAUGUUCAGAGAGCUGAAGAAUGGAGUUAAGUUAGUCUGAUGACAUAAAAAAUGAACGUGCUUUCGUUGUUUGUUUUGUAAACGAUACUGUAAGGUGCUUCGUUGUUAAUGUUACACAAAAUGCAUGUAAAAGGAUCGUAGGCUACCUCGCGUUUUAAAAUUGACGCAAGAAAGAACUUUGGGUUGCUUUGUUAAGUUAUGCAUCAGUGAUGUGAGAAACAACAAGAAAGAGCAUAAAGAAACAAUUAUAAACGACCGCGUGACAGUGUCAUAAUGGUGAUGUUUUGAGACUUUGUAUUUAAACAAACAUGUGAAGGUUGCCUUAUACACUGUUUCUGGUUUUCGACUGGUUCCAACAGAGAAAUUGCAUGUAUGCAGGCCAUGUGGAAGAGUAUACAAGCAGAGAUACACACUGAACAGGCAUCUGCGAUAUGAAUGUGGAUUUUCGAAGAAACAGUUCCAUUGUCCAAUUUGCCAGAAACAAUUUAAUCGUCCAGAAUGCGCCCGUGCUCAUCACUACAAAUACCAUUUCUCUCACCAUUAAGAGCUUAUCCUAAAGUGCAUGUGCUUUUUUUAGAAGUAUUUUCUCCUUCUUUCACAUGGCGUUACAUUUGUGUCAUAUUGUGUCUGUAUUGUGUGUGUGUGUGUGUGUGUGUGUGUGUGUGUGUGUGUGUGUGUGUGUGUGUGUGGGGGGGGGGGGGGGUGUAAUAAUUUGAAAGGAAGGUACUUAGACUUAACUCAAAAUUUCAUAAUGAGACAAAAAACUUUGUAUUUGGUGUGAUGCAGGUUUCAGACUGGAGCCACCAGAGGAGAUCCAUGAAUGUAAAAUGUGUGGCAGAGUGUACAAGAAACGCUACACCCUCAACAGGCACAUACGAUAUGAAUGUGGAUUUUCCAGGAGACAGUUCCACUGUCCAGUUUGUGGCAAACAGUUCAAUCGUCCUGAUCACUAUCGUACACAUUUGGUGGUUCAUGAAGUAAAGCCAUUUAAUGGAACGAGGUUAAAAACACCAUUUAUAUUGUAAAGAUACUUAAUCAUGUACUGAGAGUUUAAGUUUACAUUUUUAUUAUGUAUAAAAAUCAGUGGUAACAAAUUGAAAUGCUGAUGAAAGCAUAUAGUGUUUUUAUGUUUAACAGGAAAAAAAUACUUGUAAGAUAGUAAGUGUUGUAACUAUUGUUAGUAUUUGGCUUUUAUAAACAUUGUGCCUUAUUUUAUCAGGCUUUAAAAUAAAAAAUACUGAAAUAUG